UACAGAGGUCCCAAGCGUUGUUCGGAUUCAUUGGGCGUAAAGGGUGCGUAGGCGGCGCGGUAAGUCGGGUGUGAAUCUCGGAGCUUAACUCCGAACUGCAUUCGAUACUGCCGUGCUGGAGGACUGGAGAGGAGACUGGAAUUUACGGUGUAGCGGUGAAAUGCGUAGAUAUCGUAAGGAAGACCAGUGGCGAAGGCGGGUCUCUGGACAGUUCCUGACGCUGAGGCACGAAGGCCAGGGGAGCAAACGGG
rnacentral:rRNA from 1 species